rnacentral:rRNA from 1 species
AGCAGCCGCGGUAAUUCCAGCUCCAAUAGCGUAUAUUAAAGUUGUUGCAGUUAAAAAGCUCGUAGUUGAAUUUCGGGGUUAGUAGGUUGGUCAUGCCACUGGUAUGUACUGAUCUUACUGAUUCCUCCUUCCUGAUGAACCGUAAUGCCAUUAAUUUGGUGUUGCGGGGAGACUGGACUGUUACUUUGAAAAAAUUAGAGUGUUUAAAGCAGGCUAACGCUUGAAUACAUUAGCAUGGAAUAAUGAAAUAGGACGUUCGAUCCUAUUUUGUUGGUUUCUAGGAUUGACGUAAUGAUUAAUAGGGAUAGUUGGGGGCAUUAGUAUUCAAUUGUCAGAGGUGAAAUUCUUGGAUUUAUUGAAGACUAACUACUGCGAAAGCAUUUGCCAAGGAUGUUUUCAUUAAUCAAGAACGAAAGUUAGGGGAUCGAAGACGAUCAGAUACCGUCGUAGUCUUAACCAUAAACUAUGCCGACUAGGGAUCGGAUGAUGUUAAUUUUUUAAUGACUCAUUCGGCGCCUUA